GAUGAACGCUGGCGGUAUGCUUAACACAUGCAAGUCGAACGGUACCUUCGGGUAUAGUGGCGGACGGGUGAGUAACGCGUGAGAAUCUAUCUUCAGGUCGGGGACAACAGUUAGAAAUGACUGCUAAUACCGGAUGUGCCGAAAGGUAAAAGAUUUAUUGCCUGAAAAAGAGCUCGCGUCAGAUUAGCUAGUAGGUGGUGUAAGAGACUACCUAGGCUUCGAUCUGUAGCUGGUCUGAGAGGACGAUCAGCCACACUGGAACUGAGACACGGUCCAGACUCCUACGGGAGGCAGCAGUGGGGAAUUUUCCGCAAUGGGCGAAAGCCUGACGGAGCAAUACCGCGUGAGGGACGAAGGCUCGUGGGUCGUAAACCUCUUUUCUCAAGGAAGAUUCAGACGGUACUUGAGGAAUAAGCAUCGGCUAACUCUGUG
rnacentral:rRNA from 1 species